rnacentral:rRNA from 1 species
CAGCAGCCGCGGGAAUACGUAGGUGGCAAGCGUUGUCCGGAAUUAUUGGGCGUAAAGCGUGCGCAGGCGGUUCGUUAAGACAGAUGUGAAAUCCCCGGGCUUAACCUGGGAACUGCAUUUGUGACUGGCGAGCUAGAGUAUGGCAGAGGGGGGUAGAAUUCCACGUGUAGCAGUGAAAUGCGUAGAGAUGUGGAGGAAUACCGAUGGCGAAGGCAGCCCCCUGGGCCAAUACUGACGCUCAUGCACGAAAGCGUGGGGAGCAAACAGGAUUAGAUACCCCUGUAGUCCCUGUCUCUUAUAC